rnacentral:rRNA from 1 species
GACGAACGCUGGCGGCGUGCUUAACACAUGCAAGUCGAACGGAAAGGCCCUGCUUGCUGGGUACUCGAGUGGCGAACGGGUGAGUAACACGUGGGUGAUCUGCCCUGCACUUCGGGAUAAGCCCGGGGAACUGGGUCUAAUACCGGCUAGGAGCCAUAUUUCGUGUGGUGGUUGGACAGUUUUGUCGGUUUAGGAUGAGCUCGUGGCCUAUCAGCUUGUUGGUGGGGUAAUGGCAUAUCAAGGCGGCGACGGGUAGCCGGCCUGACAGGGUGGACGGCCACAUUAGGACUGGGAUACGGCCCAGACUCCUACGGGAGGCAGCAGUGGGGAAUAUUACACAAUGGGAGCGAGCCUGAUGCAGUGACGCCGCGUGGGGGAUGACGGCCUUCGGGUUGGAAACUCCUUUCGCGAGGGACGAGGCUUUUAGUGACGGUACCUAGAUAAGAAGCACCGGCUAACUACGUG